GGAUUGGUGGUCUAAUGGCUAUCACUUCUGCUUUGCAAGCAGAAGGUCGUGGGUUCAAUCCCAGGUCUGUCCC
rnacentral:tRNA from 1 species